rnacentral:rRNA from 1 species
GACGAACGCUGGCGGCGCGCCUAACACAUGGCAAGUCGAACGAGAGAUGAGGAGCUUGCUCUUCAGAUCGAGUGGCGAACGGGUGAGUAACGCGUGAGGAACCUGCCUCAAAGAGGGGGACAACAGUUGGAAACGACUGCUAAUACCGCAUAAGGCCCACGGCUCGGCAUCGAGCAGAGGGAAAAAGGAGCAAUCCGCUUUGAGAUGGCCUCGCGUCCGAUUAGCUAGUUGGUGAGGUAACGGCCCACCAAGGCGACGAUCGGUAGCCGGACUGAGAGGUUGAACGGCCACUAUUGGGACUGGAGACACGGCCCAGACUCCUACGGGAGGCAGCAGUGGGAAUAUUGCACAAUGGGGGAAACCCUGAUGCAGCGACGCCGCGUGGAGGAAGAAGGUCUUCGGAUUGUAAACUCCUGUUGUUGAGGAAGAUAAUGACGGUACUCAACAAGGAAGUGACGGCUAACUACGUG